rnacentral:misc_RNA from 1 species
UGAAGGUUGGAAUGAUGAUUCUGUUAAUCUGGGUAAGAGGGCUUCGGUUGAUAGACAAGGGUUUGGUGAGAUUUCUCUUGGCAAAUAUGCUAAAAAGGCCAAGAGUGGUGAUGAGGACUCUGGCAAGGAUAUCAAGGGAAAAUCUCCCUUAAAAAUAUCCUCUAGUCAAGUCAAUGUUGCUGGUUCCCUUUCUGAACAAUCCGAAAGCAUGAAAAUGGGAAAAGGUUCUGAAGAUCCUAAAGGCUACCUUGAUAGUCAGGGAAAUGAAGAUGAAGAAUUCAAUGAUAGUGAGGAUGAUUUGUUGGAUUCUCAGGAGUUGGAUGAAUUCAUUAAGGAUGAUGAUUUUAUUCCUUCCCCUGCCCAAGAUAAAAAAAAAUUACAUAUGAGUAUUGUUGAGGAUGCUAGCAAGAUUGCUGGUGGUAAAAAAAGUGGUCCUAUGGAAAUUGAAACUUCUGAAGGUGUGAGAAGGAGUAGCAGACUGGAAUCUUCUGAGGAAGUAAAAAUUGCGGAUAAGGCUGCUGCAAGAGCUAUGGCGAAAGAUGCUUUCAUCAACAAAGGUAUGUCCUAUAAUCCUUUCUCGGUCUUGAAUACUGAUAAUGAUGUUCUCUUUGAUGUGGCUAACAGAUUAGGUGUUGAAUUAGGUUCUUCAUUUGAUGAUGCUGUUGAAAAUUUAAACCUGAUUAAAUCUUUAGAAUUGUCUAGGAAAAACUUAGUGGUUCAAUCUGUUAAAAUUAAUGUUGAUAAUUCUAAUGCUGAUUGUAUUGUUUCUGAUGAUGAUAAUAUCAUUCAGAAAGAUAAUCUUGAAGAUAAUUUUUCUGAACUCGAAGAUG